GAUGAACGCUGGCGGCGUGCCUAAUACAUGCAAGUCGAGCGAAUGGAUUAAGAGCUUGCUCUUAUGAAGUUAGCGGCGGACGGGUGAGUAACACGUGGGUAACCUGCCCAUAAGACUGGGAUAACUCCGGGAAACCGGGGCUAAUACCGGAUAACAUUUUGAACCGCAUGGUCCGAAAUUGAAAGGCGGCUUCGGCUUUCACUUAUGGAUGGACCCGGGUCGCAUUAGCUAGUUGGUGAGGUAACGGCUCACCAAGGCAACGAGUGCGUAGCCGACCUGAGAGGGUGAUCGGCCACACUGGGACUGAGACACGGCCCAGACUCCUACGGGAGGCAGCAGUAGGGAAUCUUCCGCAAUGGACGAAAGUCUGACGGAGCAACGCCGCGUGAGUGAUGAAGGCUUUCGGGUCGUAAAACUCUGUUGUUAGGGAAGAACAAGUGCUAGUUGAAUAAGCUGGCACCUUGACGGUACCUAACCAGAAAGCCACGGCUAACUACGUGCCAGCCGCCGCGGUAA
rnacentral:rRNA from 1 species